GACGAACGCUGGCGGCGUGCUUAACACAUGCAAGUCGAACGGAAAGGCCCCUUUGGGGGUACUCGAGUGGCGAACGGGUGAGUAACACGUGAGUAACCUGUCCUUGACUUCGGGAUAACUUCAGGAAACUGGGGCUAAUACCGGAUAGGAAUCCUUGCUGCAUGGUGGGGGUUGGAAAGCUUCGGCGGUUUUGGAUGGACUCGCGGCUUAUCAGCUUGUUGGUGGGGUAGUGGCUUACCAAGGCUUUGACGGGUAGCCGGCCUGAGAGGGCGACCGGCCACAUUGGGACUGAGAUACGGCCCAGACUCCUACGGGAGGCAGCAGUGGGGAAUAUUGCACAAGGGGCGGAAGCCUGAUGCAGCAACGCCGCGUGCGGGAUGACGGCCUUCGGGUUGUAAACCGCUUUCAGCAGGGGCGAAGCUUGUGGUGACGGUACCUGCAGAAGAAGCACCGGCUAACUACGUG
rnacentral:rRNA from 1 species